rnacentral:rRNA from 1 species
UACGGUGAAUACGUUCCCGGACCUUGCACACACCGCCCGUCAAGCCAUGGAAGCCGGGUGUACCUAAAGUCGGUAACCGUAAGGAUCUGCCUAGGGUAAAAUCGGUAACUGGGGCU